CACUCCUGCGGGAGGCAGCAGUGGGGAAUAUUGGACAAUGGGCGCAAGCCUGAUCCAGCCAUGCCGCGUGAGUGAUGAAGGCCCUAGGGUUGUAAAGCUCUUUCACCGGUGAAGAUAAUGACGGUAACCGGAGAAGAAGCCCCGGCUAACUUCGUGCCAGCAGCCGCGGUAAUACGAAGGGGGCUAGCGUUGUUCGGAUUUACUGGGCGUAAAGCGCACGUAGGCGGACUAUUAAGUCAGGGGUGAAAUCCCGGGGCUCAACCCCGGAACUGCCUUUGAUACUGGUAGUCUUGAGUUCGAGAGAGGUGAGUGGAAUUCCGAGUGUAGAGGUGAAAUUCGUAGAUAUUCGGAGGAACACCAGUGGCGAAGGCGGCUCACUGGCUCGAUACUGACGCUGAGGUGCGAAAGCGUGGGGAGCAAACAGGAUUAGAAACCCCAGUAGUCCCAUGAU
rnacentral:rRNA from 1 species